GUAUGCUUAACACAUGCAAGUCGAACGAUGUGGGGACGUAGCAAUGCUACGUCUGUGCAUAGUGGCGGACGGGUGAGUAACGCGUGAGAAUCUAGCUUCAGGUUCGGGACAACAUUGGGAAACCGAUGCUAAUACCGGAUGUGCCGAGAGGUGAAAGGCUAGCCGCCUGAAGAAGAGCUCGCGUCUGAUUAGCUAGUUGGUGGUGUAAGGGACUACCAAGGCGACGAUCAGUAGCUGGUCUGAGAGGAUGAUCAGCCACACUGGAACUGAGACACGGUCCAGACUCCUACGGGAGGCAGCAGUGGGGGAAUUUUCCCGCAAUGGGGCGAAAGCCUGAACGGAGGCAAUACCGCGUGAGGGGAGGAAGGGCUCUAUGGGUUGUAAACCUCUUAUUCUCAAGGAAAGAAGUUCUGA
rnacentral:rRNA from 1 species